rnacentral:rRNA from 1 species
GACGUACGCUGGCGGCGUGCCUAAUACAUGCAAGUCGAACGAACUCUGGUAUUGAUUGGUGCUUGCAUCAUGAUUUACAUUUGAGUGAGUGGCGAACUGGUGAGUAACACGUGGGAAACCUGCCCAGAAGCGGGGGAUAACACCUGGAAACAGAUGCUAAUACCGCAUAACAACUUGGACCGCAUGGUCCGAGCUUGAAAGAUGGCUUCGGCUAUCACUUUUGGAUGGUCCCGCGGCGUAUUAGCUAGAUGGUGGGGUAACGGCUCACCAUGGCAAUGAUACGUAGCCGACCUGAGAGGGUAAUCGGCCACAUUGGGACUGAGACACGGCCCAAACUCCUACGGGAGGCAGCAGUAGGGAAUCUUCCACAAUGGACGAAAGUCUGAUGGAGCAACGCCGCGUGAGUGAAGAAGGGUUUCGGCUCGUAAAACUCUGUUGUUAAAGAAGAACAUAUCUGAGAGUAACUGUUCAGGUAUUGACGGUAUUUAACCAGAAAGCCACGGCUAACUACGUGCCAGCAGCCGCGGUAAUACGUAGGUGGCAAGCGUUGUCCGGAUUUAUUGGGCGUAAAGCGAGCGCAGGCGGUUUUUUAAGUCUGAUGUGAAACCCUUUGGCCCCACCGAAGAAGUCCAUCGGAAACUGGGAAACUUGAGUGCAGAAGAGGCCAGUGGAACUCCAUGUGUAGCGGUGAAAUGCGUAGAUAUAUGGAAGAACACCAGUGGCGAAGGCGGCUGUCUGGUCUGUAACUGACGCUGAGGCUCGAAAGUAUGGGUAGCAAACAGGAUUAGAUACCCUGGUAGUCCAUACCGUAAACGAUGAAUGCUAAGUGUUGGAGGGUUUCCGCCCUUCAGUGCUGCAGCUAACGCAUUAAGCAUUCCGCCUGGGGAGUACGGCCGCAAGGCUGAAACUCAAAGGAAUUGACGGGGGCCCGCACAAGCGGUGGAGCAUGUGGUUUAAUUCGAAGCUACGCGAAGAACCUUACCAGGUCUUGACAUACUAUGCAAAUCUAAGAGAUUAGACGUUCCCUUCGGGGACAUGGAUACAGGUGGUGCAUGGUUGUCGUCAGCUCGUGUCGUGAGAUGUUGGGUUAAGUCCCGCAACGAGCGCAACCCUUAUUAUCAGUUGCCAGCAUUAAGUUGGGCACUCUGGUGAGACUGCCGGUGACAAACCGGAGGAAGGUGGGGAUGACGUCAAAUCAUCAUGCCCCUUAUGACCUGGGCUACACACGUGCUACAAUGGAUGGUACAACGAGUUGCGAACUCGCGAGAGUAAGCUAAUCUCUUAAAGCCAUUCUCAGUUCGGAUUGUAGGCUGCAACUCGCCUACAUGAAGUCGGAAUCGCUAGUAAUCGCGGAUCAGCAUGCCGCGGUGAAUACGUUCCCGGGCCUUGUACACACCGCCCGUCACACCAUGAGAGUUUGUAACACCCAAAGUCGGUGGGGUAACCUUUUAGGAACCAGCCGCCUAAGGUGGGACAGAUGAUUAGGGUG